rnacentral:rRNA from 1 species
GUCCACGCCCUAAACGAUGCGAACUAGGUGUUGGGGAAGGAGACUUUCUUAGUACCGCAGCUAACGCGUGAAGUUCGCCGCCUGGGGAGUACGGUCGCAAGAUUAAAACUCAAAGGAAUUGACGGGGACCCGCACAAGCGGUGGAUGAUGUGGAUUAAUUCGAUGCAACGCGAAAACCUUACCUACCCUUGACAUGUCAGGAAUUCUGCUGAGAGGUGGAAGUGCCCGCAAGGGAACCUGAACACAGGUGCUGCAUGGCUGUCGU